rnacentral:ncRNA from 1 species
GGGCUUCGGCAUCUGCGCGCUCCUGGCAUCGGCCUGUGGGCUCCCCAUUCGACCCGUCUUGAAACACGGACCAAGGAGUCUGACAUGUGUGCGAGUUAACGGGUGAGUAAACCCGUAAGGCGCAAGGAAGCUGACUGGUGGGAUCCCCUAGUGGGUUGCACCACCGACCGACCUUGAUCUUCUGAGAAGGGUUCGAGUGUGAGCAUGCCUGUCGGGACCCGAAAGAUGGUGAACUAUGCCUGAGCGGGGCGAAGCCAGAGGAAACUCUGGUGGAGGCCCGUAGCGAUACUGACGUGCAAAUCGUUCGUCUGACUUGGGUAUAGGGGCGAAAGACUAAUCGAA